GCUCCCACGCCGGCCGCCGCCCCUCGACCUACCUCCAUCCCAGAGCGCCGCCCCUCACCACUCCCCUGCGAUCCUCCACCGAGGAAGGCCGCCCCUCACCAGUCCUCCUGCGAUACUCCAUCCGGGUGCGCCGUUCCUAGUCAACGCUCCCCUGCAACCCUGCUUCCCGGUGCGCCGCCCCUCGUCACCGCUUCCCUACGACCAACUACGUCUACUACCUUCGCACGAGGGCCUGCAACUACGGGCAGAGUUACUGCUGCAACCACCCUCGCGAUUUCUCUAUUUGACUUAAUUAUUGUUGGGGAUUGCUAGUUACGACUUGCCAGGCCCUGAUAAUGACGGACAAGUUGAAUUAUAGAUGGUUUGUGCGGAGGGGAGCUUCUAGCUAGAGCCUCUUGUUGUGAUUCAAUUAAUUUCAGUUAUGGCUUAUAGGACCCUAUCACGAGCCCAUGGAAGUAAAAUUUGAUUGUGCAAUCGUUGGUUGCUUGAUUAUGUGGUUGACUGAUUGUAUAAUAAGGCUGCUUCUGUUAGUCCCGUGGUUGAUGAUGACAAUUCAAAGUUCCACUUUUUGCUUAUGGUGCCACUUGCUUAUGUUGUAGGCCUGAUCAGUCACUCCGUCAUAUGGUCAUGUUUCUUUUCGAGACUUCAGAGAAAGUUACAAAUCAAAUUUCUCUACUAAGUAAUAAUUAUCUCCACUCGGUGCAGAGAAAGGCAAUCGCAGUCAAGCACUGAAUAUGUUGCAAUGGACAUGACCUCAAAACCUUCCCCCUCUUUUAUUUGGGGCACAGUUCAUUAACUUUUUUAUAUAUUUCAUUCGCUUAAAAGACCAUUUAGAUCUCUAUGCUCUCUGCUACUACAAACUGAGGAGCAGGUUGACAGCUUUACGCAGCUUGGUCGACUAGGCUGCCGCGACGCUGUGGGAGAAGGAUAUCGGUGUAGAGCAUGGCAAAGCUGAGUACUUGUUGGAUCUGAGGGCUUCUGAUCCACAGUUCUCCGCAUUAUCAUCCAUCAACAUCUGGUGAAAUUAGCACUCAGCUGCAUAAGGCUUUCUCCCCACUACAGUUAGAGUUCAAGAUCGAAAGGAAGGUAGUGCAUGUCGAGAUGGCACUUGUGAAAACUGAAGAUUAGGUACAGAGUCGCAAAAACUGCAACUCUUGGUAAUGCAGAUUUGGUUGUGCAUGUCAACCUUUAUCCAAAAGAUAAAUGGACGAUUCUAUGGGUGUGUGUGGCAAGUAUACUACAAUGAUGAUGAUGUUCCUGUUCAUGAUGAUGAAGACGGAUGGUUUCUGUUUUAGUUAAGCUGUAGGGAUCAUGUUACUCUUGGAUGAUGUUCAUCGAUUCUGUUUUAGUUAAG